rnacentral:misc_RNA from 1 species
UUUCCGUAGGUGAACCUGCGGAAGGAUCAUUAAAAAAUAUCACAUUUGUUUGUGAUUUAAUAACCAUCCUACCCUUUGUGAAUUUGUUUUUGUUUGAAAUUUAUGUUGUCUAUCCCUGGAUUAUGAAAGAAAAGUUGUAAAAGACUUUUUUUUCAUUCUAGGGAAUAGGCUUUCAUAGACAUUUUUUUAAAUUAAACUUUUUGUAUUCAUUUGUCUAAAAUUUAUUUUUAAAUAAUUUAAAAACAACUUUUGACAAUGGAUCUCUUGGUUCUCGCAACGAUGAAGAACGCAGCAAAAUGCGAUAAGUAAUGUGAAUUGCAGAAUACGUGAAUCAUCAAAUUUUCGAACGCAUAUUGCACUUUUUUAGUUUACUAAAAAAGUAUGUCUGUUUGAGUAUCAGUAAAAUAUUCUCAUAAAAACUAUCGUUUUUAUGGUUAUGAGUGUUUUACAACGAUAACAAGUUGUUUCACUUUAAAUUGAUUUUUUUAAUAAGCCAAUUUGGUUUUAUUUUUAAAAUUGGAUAAAUUUUCCCGUAAAAAGGAAUAAACUUUUCAGUUUUAAAGUUAAAACUUAAAUUGACCUACAAAAAAGGAAAUUUAAUUAUAAAACUAACUUGAUCUCAAAUCAGAUAAGAGUACCCGCUGAACUUAAGCAUAUCAAUAAGCGGAGGAAAAGAAACUAACAAGGAUUCCCUUAGUAACGGCGAGUGAAGCGGGAAGAGCUCAAAUUUGAAAUCUUCAAGGUUCUACCUUGACGAAUUGUAGUUUAAAGAAGUGUUUUCUGUUAGUGGAGUGGCAAAAGUUCUUUGGAAUAGGACAUCAUAGAGGGUGAGAAUCCCGUAUUUGGUCAUUCCUUCUAGCUUUGUGAUACACUUUCAAAGAGUCGGAUUGUUUGGGAAUGCAGUCCAAAAUGAGUGGUAAAUUUCAUCUAAAGCUAAAUAUUGGCGAGAGACCGAUAGCGAACAAGUACCGUGAGGGAAAGAUGAAAAGAACUUUGAAAAGAGAGUUAAACAGUACGUGAAAUUGUCAAAAGGGAAGCGUUUGACACCAGUGUUGUUUUUCCGAAAAUCAAUUAUAAAUGUUUUGUUUCUGAGGAGUGAUGACUUCAUCGGCUUCCUUCUCUCUUCACGAAACUUUUGUAAUGCACUAUUCGGUUAACAAGUCAACAUCAAUUUCUUUUGUUGUAAAAGAGUAUUCGGAAGGUGGCUUUCUUUUCGGAGAAAGUGUUUAUAGCCCUAUACUUCUACAAUCGGAGAGAUUGAGGUCUGCAGCGUAGAUCCUUCGGGUUAGAUACACUUGUGCUAAGUUAUAGCUUUUCAUAGACAACUUGUUGACUAUGUUUAGUCAUGUAGCUUACUCGCUUGUGCUAUUUUACCUACGCUUAGGAUG